rnacentral:rRNA from 1 species
UACGGAGGGCGCAAGCGUUGUUCGGAAUCACUGGGCGUAAAGCGCGUGUAGGCGGCUUGGCAAGUCGGGUGUGAAAGCCCGGAGCUCAACUCCGGAACUGCAUUCGAAACUGCCUCGCUCGAGUCCCGGAGAGGGUGGUGGAAUUCCCGGUGUAGAGGUGAAAUUCGUAGAUAUCGGGAGGAACACCAGUGGCGAAGGCGGCCACCUGGACGGUGACUGACGCUGAGACGCGAAAGUGUGGGGAGCAAACAGG